AAACUCCUUGGGACUGCUGAAGUAGAUGUAGACGCUCCUCCAAUGUCUUCGAUGACGGAGCUCCUGGAAAGGUGUGAUGAUUCGCAGCUGCUGGAAUUGACAAAUCAUUACCGCAAGAGGCUGGAAGAGGCAAUCCAAGGGGCGGUGGAGAAUGUCGUCUUCGUUCUAGCAUACGAGAGAUAUUUCAGUGAGCAAGAGUACAAGGUAGGGA